rnacentral:rRNA from 1 species
UACGGGGGUGGCGAGCGUUACUCGGAUUUAUUGGGUGUAAAGGGCAGGUAGGUGUUCCGCUAAGUUAGAGGUGAAAUCCUGUGGCUUAACCACAGAACUGCCUUUAAAACUGGCGGAAUUGAGUCCGGCAGAGGAGAGUGGAAUUCCCGGUGUAGGGGUGAAAUGUGUAGAUAUCGGGAGGAACACCAGUGGCGAAAGCGGCUCUCUGGGUUGGUACUGACACUAAGCUGCGAAAGCUAGGGGAGCAAACAGG